GUCGUCUCGUCAGUUCGAUUUUUUUCGGAUCUUUCAGGCGAAAAUAUCGUAAAAACUAAAAUCAGAAAUGAGUAUCGGUAGCACGUUGUACAAUGUCUUUCUUAGACGCACAUCGACGUUUGUGGUCGUCGUUGUAGCUUCGAGCUUCUUUUUCGAAAGGUCAUUUGAUUUGGCAGCCGACAAGAUUUUCGAUUCUGUUAACAAAGGGAAACUAUGGAAAGACAUAAAGGACAAAUAUGAGCAUGAAUGAGAUAUUUUAGAGACAAUAUGUUAGCUUUGUAUUUAACAGAUGUGCUCUACCUUCAAAUAUGUAUAAAUAAAUAACAAUUUAGAUGAUUUAUAUACGUAUGAUGCAUCAAAGCUUUUUUUAUCGGUGAUAUAAGGAUCACAUCUUACUGAGUAUGGGAUUUCCACAACGUCAGCAUCGAGGGAAGCUACAUAAGCGUAUCGAUACUGAGAAGUGCUCUCCAUCAUAGGAACGUCUUUGCAACCAAGUACGGGAACACGGAAACAUCGCGUACGCGUAGCAUCCUUAUCGAAGGAUUUCAUCCAUUGUCCUUUAAAAUAUAACACCGAAGUUAACAGUAUCUGAGUGUCGGCGGAAACAGUACCUGAAACAAUGUAAAAUUUCGCGUUGAUCCUGUUCGCCGCAACAUUUGCGUCUCCAAAAUUCAGCUGCUGGAUAUCGGUUCCAUAAUUAUUAUACAAAGCACUCGUAUAACCAGGAGAUGUCCUAAUCAUUGGAUUAAUCCAUAGCCGAGUCGCUACGUCGAUUUCCGUACCAUUUUGAUAACUCUGAAAUAAAUGUGA